UUCUCCUUCACAUGCAUGGAAGACUUCCUAUUGGUUCUUCCUCCAAUAAAAGAAAUAGUAUAGACAAAACAAAAACAGAUAAUGUAAUCAUUAAAACAAUGGAAAGAAAUAUUAGAGCUUUUUUUUUUUUUCAGAUCAGAACCGAAUAAGCAAUGAGCAGACACACUUGGCUCCUAUAAAUAAAUAGUAUCUUUUUCUUAUUAUUCUUGCCCUUUCUGUUUCUUUAAUUCCUUUCUUACGUCACCCACCUUCUUCUUUUUCUUUCUUUUAUCUCCUG
rnacentral:lncRNA from 1 species